rnacentral:rRNA from 1 species
UACGGGGGGAGCAAGCGUUGUCCGGAUUUAUUGGGCGUAAAGAGUUCGUAGGCGGUUCGUUAAGUCUGAUGUUAAAGAUCGGGGCCCAACCCUGAGAGUGCAUUGGAUACUGGCGAACUGGAGUGCAGUAGAGGCGAGUGGAAUUCCCAGUGUAGCGGUGAAAUGCGUAGAUAUUGGGAAGAACACCGGUGGCGUAGGCGACUCGCUGGGCUGUAACUGACGCUGAGGAACGAAGGCCAGGGGAGCGAAUGGG